GAUGAACGCUGGCGGCGUGCUUAACACAUGCAAGUCGAACGGGAAACCUUUUAAUGAAGCUUCGGCAGAUUUAGCUGGUUUCUAGUGGCGGACGGGUGAGUAACGCGUGGGUAACCUGCCUUAUACAGGGGGAUAACAGUCAGAAAUGACUGCUAAUACCGCAUAAGCGCACAGGACCGCAUGGUCCGGUGUGAAAAACUCCGGUGGUAUAAGAUGGACCCGCGUUGGAUUAGCUUGUUGGUGGGGUAACGGCUCACCAAGGCGACGAUCCAUAGCCGGCCUGAGAGGGUGAACGGCCACAUUGGGACUGAGACACGGCCCAGACUCCUACGGGAGGCAGCAGUGGGGAAUAUUGCACAAUGGGGGAAACCCUGAUGCAGCGACGCCGCGUGAAGGAAGAAGUAUCUCGGUAUGUAAACCUCUAUCAGCAGGGAAGAUAGUGACGGUACCUGACUAAGAAGCCCCGGCUAACUACGUG
rnacentral:rRNA from 1 species